UUUUCAAAUACUCAGGGCAGAGAUAAACCACGAUCAUUUGCACAAGGACAGGACUCUUUGAACUAGGGAAAUGCAAACUGGCAACUCAACGGCAAACCGUUAGCAUUACAAGCGGCCAAUUUUAAAAGGUCAAUAUACCAAACUAACGGUAUUCAUCAAAGCAGCAACAUAUAAUCCUAACGUUUCAUUUAUAAAGUGCGCCGUGUGUGAUGGCAACAAAACCCAGGAGCCGAGGGAGGACGAGCCGAGCUGACGUAGUUGGGGGGAGAGACCCGCUCCCAGGAAGACUCUCGCCAGGAUGGGUCUGGAACCACCGCUGCUGAACUUCAUGUGCAAGGGCAGCUGGCAGGUGCGUUUUAGGGGACGCGGUGCCGUAAAGCCGCCCUAAUCACGCACCAUGGCCCGGGGCCGACGCUGACAAGUAGGUCUGCGGGGUCAGGACCCGAAGGCCAGAGACAGAAUCACACAUUUGUGGGAAUUUUACAAACGAUGACGCUUGCAUCUCACACCCCGGAGGACCAGUGAGUGACGCGGUGUCUGCGGCCGUGCCUCUGAGCCGGGGGACGUCACCCCGCUCUGCCUUCCACGGAGCCCAGCGAGGCGUGGGCGGCUCCCACCUUGGUUGUGUGUUUGCCUCUUUGUUGAGUGAGAGGAGCCUGGACCUUCCGAAAGGGGCGGAGGAGGCGCUGGGAGCGGACACACCACUUGGCUGAGGAGGGAAGCCCACGGGAGGGGACGCACUGAGGGUACGGGCUGGUCACCAUGGUCAGAGGACAGCAUUGGCCACGCCGCCUAGCCCCCCUGUGCAUUUCCAGGGACAAAAGCAGGACUUGGUGGCCAGGGACUUGUGACCAGCAAGGAGGCGGAGCUCUGCACUAGGUCCAGAAGCCUGAUGCACGCGGAGCCUGGUAACUCACUUCACACACUGAAGAGCAGGGCACCCAGAGGGCGAGAGCUGCAUGAACUGGGAUGUCUGUGCUCCCCAGGAGAACCACUCCUCAGCGGGGUCCUGGGCCCGUCCACACCUGCACCCACUUCCGCCAACUGUCUCCCCAGCCCGUGUCUGCUGCCAACGUCUCCAGAGACCCUGGGCCUCUGUGUCUCGGCCACCUCUGGACUGGGAUGUGGGGUGUCCAGUACUGACCCUUCUGAGACCUGGAGGAGUGAUGAGACUGGGGCUCUAACAGGUGUGACCCCAGGACGCACAGAGCUCACCUGCUGGACCCCAGGCCAGAGGGCUUCCUUCUUCUCCUCUCAGGUGACUCCUGUGGCUCACCCUUUGCGGGGGAUGGAGGGGUUUGGGGUAGGGGUAGCUCUUAGCUCUCGGGGGCGGGAGAGACGUGGCCUGGCUGUGUGUGCACCAGAUUUGCCCUCCCAGCCCCUGCCGCCUGCCCAGGCUUGGGGCACCCCUACUCUCUCCUUCCAUCCCUCUGUCAAAGGACGCUCUUGCCCUCUUGUGGCAAAGUCCCCUCUAGUGGACGCUGGAUGGGGUGGGUGUGUGGUGUGAGUGGUCAGACUUCACACGGAGGACUUCUGACUCCUGUUGACCAGGGGAGGGAGAAAGUCAGGUUUGUUUGUUUUUUUUAACAAACUUUUCUUUUUUCUCUUUAUUAAAGAGUCAUGAACCUCUCCUGGGUCAUUCUGGGUAAGGAAUGUAAUCGAGGGGUUAAUCAGUGGAGGCAGGAGUGGGGAGGGCAGAGAGGGAGGAGGGGAGUGGAGGGGAGAGGACAGAGAGGAGGGGGGGACCUUCCAAGUGUCCAGGUGUCCAAUGAAGGGGCUGAUUUUCCGUGUCACCCUGACGGGGCUGAGGGCACCCCGAUAGCUGGUGCAACAGCCACUUCCGGGUGUGUGUGUGGUGUGCACAGAACACAUCAGCCUCUGAACUGGUGGACGGAGUAAGAUCACCGUCCCCGAGGUGGGGGGGGCUUCACCCAACCCAUCGAGGGCCUGGAUGGAGUGAAAAGGGGGGGCAAACUGUGUCUCCCUUGCUGAGCUGGGACGUCCCUGUCGUCCUGCUCCUCUGACCGUGGAGCUCAGGUCUCGGGCCCUUGGACUCGGGCUGACUGACCGCACGGGCUCCCCUGGCCUCCAGCGCCCCUGCCUCCAGCUCGCAGACGGAGGCCCCGGGCCUCAGGCCUCCACCCUGGCGAGCCGAUCCGGCAAUGCCGACCUCACACCGUCGGUAGAUGUCCUGUUGGUUCCGUUUCUCCGGAGAACCAGGGUCCUGACUUGAACAAAUCUGCUGGAGUAAAGGCAUCUGGAGCAGCGGGGCCCACGCGCGUGGACGGUGCCCGGGGCGAUGUUAUAACAUAAUUAGGGAAUGUGGAGGCGAAUUAAUGACGUGGUGGCUGUGAGAAAACAUCCUACUUCUCAGGGACACAACAGAAAUGUUUCAAAUGGAACAAGCUGAUGUCAAUCAUUUGCUUUAGUGUAAUUUGGGCAACGCAAGACUGACCUGAUGCCGAUGCAGUGAGCACGGGGGGAGGGCGCAAGUGCCGAGUCUGGGGGCGCACACAGGCCCACGCUUCAUCUCUCUGUUUCCGUGAAUGGUUGAAAAAUGCUAGAAACUCAGGAAUAUGUUUCGAGAUGGCUUUACUAGGAGGCAUGAAAGAUCAAGAGAGAAUCAACCCCGGUGAAGAGGGUUCAUCUGGGGGCUUAAGGGCGGGUCCAGAGAUAGGAGGGUCCGCCCUGGCGCCUCCUGGAGCAGAACCCACAGUUGGCUGGUGUGUGCUCCACACGCCCAGGGACAGCGGGCAGGCCACCUGGGUCUAGACACCUCCAGCUAAAACUGGCUGGAACAAUAAAGCCACCGAAGAAUUCCGCGUGAGGAGAAGC
rnacentral:lncRNA from 1 species